rnacentral:rRNA from 1 species
UACGGAGGGAGCUAGCGUUGUUCGGAAUUACUGGGCGUAAAGCGCGCGUAGGCGGCGUGUCAAGUCAGGCGUGAAAGCCCCGGGCUCAACCUGGGAACCGCGCUUGAGACUGGCAUGCUCGAGUUCGGGAGAGGAUGGUGGAAUUCCCAGUGUAGAGGUGAAAUUCGUAGAUAUUGGGAAGAACACCGAUGGCGAAGGCAGCCAUCUGGACCGACACUGACGCUGAGGCGCGAAAGCGUGGGGAGCAAACAGG